AACGAACGCUGGCGGCAGGCCUAACACAUGCAAGUCGAACGCUCCGCAAGGGGAGUGGCGCACGGGUGAGUAACACGUGGGAACCUACCUUCUGGUACGGAACAACCAAGGGAAACUUUGGCUAAGACCGUAUACGACCUCCGGGGUGAAAGAGUUGAUCGCCGGAAGAGGGCCCGCGUCCGAUUAGGUAAGUUGGUGAGGUAACGGCUCACCAAGCCUUCGAUCGGUAGCUGGUCUGAGAGGAUGACCAG
rnacentral:rRNA from 1 species